ACUCGUGGCAGAAUAGUAAACACGUUGAUACAACACGUGCGGCACAAGGGCGAUAUUUUCCAAUUUUUGUAUUUAACGCUAUAGUUACAAAGAAUUUACCACAAUGCAACAGAGUGACGAUGUGGUGUGGACCAUCAUCAACAAGUCGUUUUGUUCCUUUAAGAUUUCAACUAUAUCACAAAAAUUUUGCCGAAAUGAAUUCAACUUGACUGGGCUGUGCAGUAGAAGUUCAUGUCCACUUGCCAACAGCCAGUAUGCUACAGUAAGAGAAGAAAAAGGUAUCAUAUAUCUAUAUAUGAGAACAGCAGAAAGAUGCCCAUUCCCAGCAAAACAAUGGGAGAAAGUCAAACUUUCUCGGAAUUUUGUCAAAGCUCUGCAACAAAUCGACGAAAAUCUGGUGUUCUGGAAGAAGUAUUUCCGCCAAAAAUGCAGACAGAGGCUUCUGAAAAUCACACAGUAUUUGACUCGUAUGAGAAAGCUGAAAUUAGGAAGGAAGAAAAAGUUGAUUCCAUUAAGACGGAAACAGGAAGUGCGAUUGAAGAGACGUGAAGAGAAAGCUCUUGUUGCAGCGAGAAUUGACAAUGCUAUUGAGAAACAGCUUUUGCAGAGACUCAAGGAGGGAACGUAUGAACGUAUAUACAACUUCCCACAAGAAGCCUUUGAUGUGAGGGUUGACGGCGAAGAAGUAGAGAGCGAUAUUGAUGAAGUGGAGUAUGAUGAAGAUAGAGAAGAAGAGGUGGAGACAGAUGAAGAUGUGGAAGGACAGUUGGAAAAAGAAGUCGUAAAUGAUGAUGAUGAUGAUGACGAUGAAGAUGACGAUGAUGAUGAUGAGUUAAGUAGUGAUGAAGACGACUCUGGUGACGAAGAAGAGGAUGAUGAAGAAACACGGGAAUUUGUUGCUGACUUCGAUGAGAGUGAUGAAGAAGACUUUGAGAGUGCUGCAGAUCGCCUGGGGGACAUCAGCGAGGAUUCGGAUGAAGGCAGCGAUGACGAUGAUGAGGUCGACGACAAAGAGGAAGAGAGAAGGAAAGUCAUGAAAGCCAAGCCCAAGGUGAUCAAGCGACGAGGGAAAGCUCAGUUAGAAGUGGAAUACGAAGAACCUGAAACGGCGAAGAAGAUUAGACUUACUUCGUAAUGCCAUUGAAUUUAUGUGCUAAUGUAUAUUGUUGUUUGUAUUUUUUCUUUUUUCUUUAUUUUCUUAUUAUAUGGGAGUAGGUGUAUUGGUGUAUUGGCAUUCUGUCUUCAUUGACUUUAUUAUUAUUAUGAUAUUUAUUAUUAUUAUUUUUAUUAUUGUUAUUAUUAUUAUUACCAUUAUUAUUAUUAUAAUAUCAUUAUUUUUGUUAUUAUUAUUACUAUCAUGGUCAUUAUUAAUAAUGAUAUUAAUAUGUAUUGAGGUGAUGUCUCUUUACAGUUUGACAAUGCUAUACUGUAAAGAGACAUUAUAUAUCUUUUGAGACAUUUGACUGUUGAACACUCACAUACAUCCACAUUCAUAUACGUACAAACACAUAAGCCACAUUCAUAAACUUACCAAUAAAUAUGGAAAGAACGAA
rnacentral:misc_RNA from 1 species